CUACGGGUUGCUGCAGUGGGGAAUAUUGGACAAUGGGGGAAACCCUGAUCCAGCAAUGCCGCGUGUGUGAAGAAGGCCUGCGGGUUGUAAAGCACUUUCGGUUGGGAGGACUGCUUCUAGCACUAAUAUUGUUGGAAGUUGACGUUACCUUCAGAAGAAGCACCGGCUAACUCCGUGCCAGCAGCCGCGGUAAUACGGAGGGUGCAAGCGUGAAUCGGAAUUACUGGGCGUAAAGCGCGCGUAGGCGGCUAGAUCAGUCGGGUGUGAAAGCCCCGGGCUUAACCUGGGAACUGCAUCCGAUACUGUCUAGCUUGAAUACAGGAGAGGAGAGUGGAAUUCCACAUGUAGCGGUGAAAUGCGUAGAUAUGUGGAGGAACACCAAUGGCGAAGGCAGCUCUCUGGCCUGAUACUGACGCUGAGGUGCGAAAGCGUGGGGAGCAAACAGGAUUAGAUACCCGCGUAGUC
rnacentral:rRNA from 1 species